rnacentral:rRNA from 1 species
CCUACGGGAUGCAGCAGUGAGGAAUAUUGGUCAAUGGGCUUACGCCUGAACCAGCCAAGUCGCGUGAGGGAAGACUGCCCUACGGGUUGUAAACCUCUUUUGUCAGGGAGCAACGCCGGCUACGUGUAGCAGGAAUGAGAGUACUUGAAGAAAAAGCAUCGGCUAACUUGGUGCCAGCAGCCGCGGUAAUACGGAGGAUGCGGGGUUAAUCGGGAUUAUUUGGGUUAAAAGGGGGCGUGGGGGGAAUGCAAAGUCAGCGUGAAAGUCGCGGGGCUCAACCUAGAUCCGCAGUUGAAACUGGCAUUCUUGAGUAGGCGAGAGGUAGGCGGAAUGCUUGGUGUAGGGGUGAAAUGCGUAGAUAUCACGCAGAACUCCGAUUGCGAAGGCAGCAUACC